rnacentral:rRNA from 1 species
UACGUAGGGUGCAAGCGUUGUCCGGAAUUAUUGGGCGUAAAGAGCUCGUAGGCGGUUCGUCGCGUCGGCUGUGAAACCUGAGGCUCAACCUCAGGCCUGCAGUCGAUACGGGCGGACUUGAGUACUGCAGGGGAGACUGGAAUUCUUGGUGUAGCGGUGAAAUGCGCAGAUAUCGAGGAGGAACACCGGUGGCGAAGGCGGGUCUCUGGGCAGUGAACUG